AAAAGAGUAAAAAAACUAAACUGUUUCACUCUGAGCGGCUUCUGUAAUGAAAUGGAAUUCUCACCUCAUCCAUCUUACUCCAGUACACAAUCUCUUGGGCUAAUGUUUUUUUCCCCUCUCUCUCCCUCCUUCUUUCGUAGCUCGCUGGUCUUGACAUCUUACUGUUCCUCCGAGUGACAUGCCACGCUGCCAGGAAUUCAGUUCAUCGGAGCUAUGUGCAGCCACAAACCAAACAGCCUGUAGAGACACCCUGGGAGACGUGUGGAGCCCUGAGACACUGGGUUAUAAUCAAACACAGGAGCCACAGUAUCCUGACUCAGCUACUACUACUACUGGCAGCUGUAGUGACUCAGUGCCUUCAAACAAAACACUUACAGUAGUGAUUUAUUAUAUGAAAAGCACCCUGGACCACUAUGGUUCCCUGCUGAUUUUCUUAAAGGUGGUACCACAUUUUAAUGUAUCAACAGUCGUACCUGCAUCAAUACAAUAAUGACAUAGAAACAACCAACAACAAAGAAAUGUGUGCUUUGCUUAUACUCAGAACUAACCUGGGCUCAGUGCCUAUGAAUCAUGCCCACACCUACUCACUCACUGUUGAUUGGCCUUCAGACUGGCAAAUCCCAAAUGCCCGAUUGAAUUGUCAGAAAUUCUACAUGUGAGGCCACAAAAUGGUCGCAAUAAUGAAACAUUGUGAUUUUGCUGAUAGAAACAAUCCAAUUUAAACAUUUUAAGGAUGUCUGAACACUUCACACUUCCAACAUUUGUUGUCAUUUCUGCCUUAUGGUAAUUGCUUUAAUACUGACCAAUCAAUUUGUACAAUUUACUUUUGGGAUAUAUGCCAUCACUGUCAAUGUAACCAAUGUAGUUUUAAAUGGUGCAAUAUACAUAUAAACCACAUAAAUAAUAAUAUAACAUUUGA